rnacentral:rRNA from 1 species
GACGAACGCUGGCGGCGUGCCUAAUACAUGCAAGUCGAACGCAUUUUCUUUCAUUGUAGCUUGCUACACCGACAGAAAAUGAGUGGCGACCGGGUGAGUAACACGUGGGUAACUUGCCAAUCCGCGGGGGAUAACACUUGGAAACAGGUGCUAAUAUCGAAUAAUUCGGUUUACUGCGUACUACAUGGUUGAAUGGCGCUUUUGCGUCGCUGAUGGAUGGACUCGCGGUGGAUUAGCCAGAUGGUGGGGUCACUGCCUACCAAGGCUGCGAUGCCUAGCCGACCUGAGAGGGUGAGCGGCCACACUGGGACUGAGACACGGCCCAGACUCCUACGGGAGGCAGCAGUAGGGAAUCUUCGGCAAUGGGCGCAAGGCUUACCGAACAACGCCGCGUGAGGGAAGAAGGUUUUCGGAUUGUAAAACUCGGUUGUUAGGGGAGAACAAGCAUGAGAGUGGAAAGUUCAUCCCUUGACGGUAUCUAACCAGAAAGCAACGGCUAACUACGUG